AUUGAACGCUGGCGGCAUGCCUUACACAUGCAAGUCGAACGGUAACAGGUUAAGCUGACGAGUGGCGAACGGGUGAGUAAUAUAUCGGAACGUGCCCAGUCGUGGGGGAUAACUGCUCGAAAGAGCAGCUAAUACCGCAUACGACCUGAGGGUGAAAGCGGGGGAUCGCAAGACCUCGCGCGAUUGGAGCGGCCGAUAUCAGAUUAGGUAGUUGGUGGGGUAAAAGCCUACCAAGCCAACGAUCUGUAGCUGGUCUGAGAGGACGACCAGCCACACUGGGACUGAGACACGGCCCAGACUCCUACGGGAGGCAGCAGUGGGGAAUUUUGGACAAUGGACGCAAGUCUGAUCCAGCCAUGCCGCGUGCGGGAAGAAGGCCUUCGGGUUGUAAACCGCUUUUGUCAGGGAAGAAAAGGGUGUUUCUAAUACAGACGCCUCAUGACGGUACCUGAAGAAUAAGCACCGGCUAACUACGUGCCAGCAGCCGCAGUAAGAC
rnacentral:rRNA from 1 species